AUUGUAGUAACACUGAGUAGGUACCGUGUAUUGUAGUAACACUGAGUAGGUGCCAUGUAUUGUAGUAACACUGAGUAGGUUCCGUGUAUUGUAGUAACACUGAAUAGGUUCCGUGUAUUGUAGUAACACUGAGUAGGUACCGUGUAUUGUA